CUCUGUUCACGGAAAGGGCCUGGGAGCUGCAACACCUCAACAGCAACAAGCACACCUGCUACCUAGAACUUGGUUUCUAAAAACCAUCCUCCUCUAAAAGGAAACAGAGCUCUUUGAAGAAAUGCAGAAGGUAAGCAUGAGCAAAUCACUUUUUAGAGGUAACUUUGCUGGACUUGUGAAGAAUGGUGUGCAAGGUCCAGAGCGACUGCAGGAGAGGGAAGGUGGGAUUCCCACAGAGCAGGAGCACAGAUGAGCCAAGCAAGGCCCUGCUUAGAAGGCAGCAAUCAACAGAGAUGCACAGACCUGUGAGGGUGCCGGGACAGCCAUGCAACAAUGCAGCCCUUUUGCUUCCUAAGGUCACCAGUUCCCUCGCUCCACCUCUGAGAGGUGGUUUGGAGAAACACAGCCCUUCUCAAGAGGGUUGCAAGCUACUUAAGUACUGAAAAUUUCCACAAGGCUGAGUCAAAUCUGCAUUUCAUCAUCUAUAAGAAAGGUACCUAUCGAGAACACCCUGCUGGCCAGUGUGUAAAUAUCUAAAGGAGGACUCAGAAAACACCGGGGAAGUCCAGCCUGCACGUGGUGGCUGGGCUUCAGUGAAGCAUGGAGCACAACAGGAGUUAGCAGCCAUGCACUGCCCAGGCUGGAAGUAUGCUCAACCACAAGGAUCAGGGCUGGGAGAGGCGCUUCGGUAGC
rnacentral:lncRNA from 1 species